CCCUACGGGGCGCAGCAGGCGCGAAAACUUUACAAUGCGGGAAACCGUGAUAAGGGAACUCCGAGUGCCCGUUAAAUCGGGCUGUCCAUCAGUUUAAAUAACUGGUGAAGAAAGGGCCGGGCAAGACCGGUGCCAGCCGCCGCGGUAAUACCGGCGGCUCGAGUGGUGGCCACUAUUACUGGGCUUAAAGCGUUCGUAGCUGGUUUGUUAAGUCUCUGGGGAAAUCUUCCGGCUUAACCGGAAGGCGUCUCAGGGAUACUGGCAGACUAGGGACCGGGAGAGGUGAGGGGUACUCCAGGGGUAGGAGUGAAAUCCUGUAAUCC
rnacentral:rRNA from 1 species